UACGAAGGGGGGCUAGCGUUGCUCGGAAUCACUGGGCGUAAAGGGUGCGUAGGCGGGUCUUUAAGUCAGGGGUGAAAUCCUGGAGCUCAACUCCAGAACUGCCUUUGAUACUGGGGAUCUCGAGUCCGGAAGAGGUGAGUGGAACUCCGAGUGUAGAGGUGAAAUUCGUAGAUAUUCGGAAGAACACCGGUGGCGAAGGCGGCAUCCUGGACCGGUAUUGACGCUGAGGCGCGAAAGCCAGGGGAGCAAACGGG
rnacentral:rRNA from 1 species